rnacentral:rRNA from 1 species
AUGGUUGUUGGCUUACUCCAGCAGCCAGCCCAGCCUUCCCUCCCGGUCAUCAGUCCAACUUCUUGCUCCGACGCCGGUCACUCAAAGAGCCGCGUGCAGGCCACCCGUGUUUCACCUCCUGAUCCAGCUCAACUUUCUCCAUUCUUCAGCAUCUUUGAUUGUCGCAUGAUACUUGUAUUGGGUGCUAGAGUUCAUGUAUUACUGCCAGGUACUAGGUGGUGGCAUUGCUUCACUUCUCUUGUUACGUUCUCUUCGCCCAAAUUCGAAGGAUCAAGAAAAGAAAAUAUCAUUGUUUUGACAUGCACCACUCAAAAGAAGUCGUUUCUGUUGAAAAUUUGUUUCGCUUGA